ACAAACUUGGUCAUUUAGAGGAAGUAAAAGUCGUAACAAGGUUUCCGUAGGUGAACCUGCGGAAGGAUCAUUACCGAGUACCGGGGCCUCAGGUCCCUACUCCCAUCCCAUGUUAACUUUUUACCGUUGCUUUGGCGGACCGGUGGUCUGACCGCCGCCGGCUCUAGGCUGGAGAGCGCCUGCCAGAGGAUUUUCAAACGCUGUUUAAACGUGUGCUCUGAGUACGACUUAAUUAGAAUCAAAACUUUCAACAACGGAUCUCUUGGUUCUGGCAUCGAUGAAGAACGCAGC
rnacentral:misc_RNA from 1 species